rnacentral:lncRNA from 1 species
AAGAGUAGCGUUACUAUGGCAACCCUGACAGGUUUGUGAGCAGCCCCCGGUCCCCUGCCGCUCCGUGAGAAAUCAAACUUCAGGCACUGACGAAGCAUGAAGCCAGCAUCUUAGGAAGAGGUAGUGACAUAAUUACAAGAUUUGUGCUGUGCACUAACAUGCAAUACAAAUACUGAUGAAAAUAAAACUAUUGCCCUCCUACCAAAUGAGAAAUUAAUGUUAUGACUGGAUGAAGACAAUUGUGAAGAAACUGCACUUUGAGGUUGUCUAUCUCUGUAUUCUGAUGGAAAAGCGUGGAGUUUAGAAGCACUGCUCACUCCUUCAGUUUCUAACAAGUUUGAGACUAUGGUUAGGUGGUGAGGAAGGCAGGCUCAGCACCCAAGCCUUGGGGAGACGCAGAAAGGGCCCAUCCCAGGCACUCAGGUGGAGGUAAGCAUAGCCUUUGGGCCAUAAGACCUCAUGGCCACUGGGGUGCUGGUCUGGAAACAAGUCCUCAUCUUCCCAGAAAUGUCAUCUUUUGUCUGCAGCAGCUGGCUGGAGAAAGAUUUCAGAAAGGUGUGUGCCUGGGGCACCCAAAGGCAUGACCUUCCUUUCUCCUUGGCAUAGGCCUUACAACACUGAGGAAAGGCCAUGGUUUGGCAUUGGAGCCUUCAAUAGUUUUCACCCCUAUGGAUCGAAAAGAUUGUCCAAAUAGAAGCUUAUAUAGGAUGUUAAAAAGUAAACUGACAGGACUAUGAAAAUUGUCUCCCAACAGAGUACAGCUUUUUUUUUUUUUUUUUUUUUUUUUUUUUUCUGAGAAAAAACUCCAGGAUGGAGUACAGUGGUGUGAUCUUGGCUCACUGUAACCUCCACCUCCGGGGUUCAAGUGAUUCUUCUAUCUCAGCCACUCGAGUAGUUGGGACUACAAGUGCGUGCCACCAUGCUUGGCUAAUUUUUUGUAUUUUUAGUAGAGACAGCGUUUCACCAUGUUGUCCAGGAUGGUCUCAAUCUCCUGACCUUGUGAUCCGCCCGCGCCUGCCUCCCAAAGUGCUGGGAUUACAGGCGUGAGCCACUGUGCCCGGCCCAUUUUGUUAAAAAUACAGAAAUAUUGGUAAAACCAUUAUCAAAAGCAUUGUGGAGCUUUCUAAAAACUUACAAUACCACAUUAUCCAGCAAAUCCACUUCCAGAUAUAUAACCAAAGGAAAUAAAACUAGUAUCUAGAAGAGACAUCUGUGCUCCCAUAUUUAUUGCAGAAUUAUUUACAAUGACAGAUGUGCAAACAACCUAAGUAUUAAUAAAUGAAUGGAUAAAAUAAUUGUGGAGUAUUUAUAUAAUGGAAUAUUAUUCAGCCAUAAAAAGAAAAUCCUGUUAUUUACAACUAUAUGAAUGAACCUGGAGAAGAGUAGGCUGAGUGAAAUAAGCCAGACAGAGAAUGAGAAAUAUUGUUUGAUUUCAGUUAUAUAUGAAGCCUAGAAAGUUAAAGUCAUAGAAACAGAGAGUACAAAGUGGUUUCCAGGAGCUGGUGGGUGGGAGAAAUGGGGGGUUGUUAAUAAAAAGUGCAAACUUUCAGGUAUAAAAUAAACAAGUUCUAGUGGUCUACUGCACAGCAUGGAUGUUACUGAAUGUUAUCUUAGUCUGUUCCAACUGCUGUAAUAAAAUACCUUAGAAUAGAUAAUUUAUAAGCAGUAUAAACUGAGUUCUCACAGUUAUGGAGGCUGAGAAGUCCAAGCUCAAGGCACCAGCAGUCUAGGUGUCUGGUGAGGGUCCAGUCUCUGGUUUCAAGAUGGCACCUUAAAUUGCUGUGUCCUCACACAGCAGAAGGACAAAAUAGGCCAAACUCAUUUUCUCAAGCCGUUUUACAAUGACAGCUAAUUGCAUUGUUAAGGGCAGAUUUUUCAUGCCCUAGCAACCAACUAAAGUCUAAUACUAUUGUAUUGAGGAUUAAGUUUUAAAGUAAAUUUGGGAGGGACACAAAUAUUUGAACAAUAGGAAUUAUGUUAAUUUAACUGAUUGUGAAAGUGAUUAGACAAUGUGUGCAUGUAUCAAGUCAUCGCAUUGCACACCUUGAAAAUACUCAAGCCUCACUUGUCAGUUAACAUUUUUAAAUUAAUAAAAUAAAAUGUGGAAGUAAUUUAUCCUUUGAGCAAUAAAAAAGUCUACUGAAGAUUUUUUUAACACCAGCACUACUUUGGCUGUUUGGUGUUGUGAGAUUGCUAAAAACUGAAAAAUGCAGAAAGAAAUGGAAAGAAUCACACACAGUCUUCACAAAAAAGUCAGCUCUGAGUGUGAGGUGGUGUUAAUCUGGGCGAGGCAAUGACAAGUGAUGGCAAAUAAAAAUAACCCUAAGACAAGAUUUUCAGAAUAAAUUAAAUUUUCUUAACUUACUGGAAAAAAUUACAUUACUAGCCAUGUAACAAACCUAUUUUGUACAGGUGGUGAAACCAAAUUUUAAGUAUAAAUUAUGAUGUAUUAAAAAACAAAAAGAAUAUUUUUGUGGUCUUAGAAAAAAAUUAUUAAAUGAACCAAGUAAGCAGAAUAUACAACAUUUUCAAAUACUAAAGAAAAAAAUCAUUGAAAAUUGCAAAAUUUUAGGCUCCAAAAGACUCACUAAUUUAAUAGAAGCAGAAAUCCUACAGCUAGAAAAUUUGCAGAUAGAAAAUAUAUUUUUCAGCUUGGAAAUCAAAAUGGAAACUACAAAUUCAAGCGUAACCAACAAAUAAUAUAUACCUACAUAUCGUGUAACUUUUUGUUGAAAAAAGACAUUUCGAAUAUUAUAGUAAUUUUGAAAUCAGAUUAUCAUCCUUCUUCUGUGUUUUUGUUGCUACCUAUUGCGACGUGUGCUCUGUCAUGCAUGUACAUUGACAUCUCUGUUCCAUUAGCUUGGUAGUAAGCUACUGAUUUGCAGAGAUUUUCUUAAAUGUUUGUUAUUUCCCCACUUCCUCCAAAUAAAUUUUAUAAUGUUCUCUUUUGGGUGUGUGUGUGUGUGUGUGUGUGUGUGUGUGUGUGUGUGUGCGUGCUGGAGCAUGCCUUUACUAAUCAGCCAGAAAUUUACAACUUGGUUCUUGCCUUACUUUCUGCUGAUACAGAGUUUGAAGGUCAAACAAGGGUGAAUACUGAGGGUCUUCCUGGGAUUUCUUCUUUUCUUUUCUUUUCUUUUCUUUUUUUUUGAGAUGGAGUUUCACUCUUGCUGCCCAGGCUGGAGUGCAAUGGCGCGACCUCAACUCGCCACAAACUCUGCCUCCCGGGUUCAAGCAAUUCUCCUGCCUCAGCCUCCCAAGUAGCUGGGGUUACAGGCAUGCACCACCACACCCCACUAAUUUUGUAUUUUUAGUAGAGAUGAGAUUUCUCCAUGUUGGUCAGGCUGGUCUCAAACUCUAGAUCUCAGGUGACCCACCUGCCUUGGCCUCCCAAAGUGCUGGGAUUACAGGUGUGAGCCACCAUGCCCGGCCCUCUUCCUGGGUUUUUCUAGACUGCAUACCUGGCCCUGAGCCUCCAUAUGACCUCCUAAAUUUCCUAGACUAUUAUCACAGCCCAAUCCCCAAAGUGUCCCAUUCCCCAGUCUUUCCUUUUAGGGCUUUUUUUUUUAGCAUGAUUAUUUUUUCCUCUAUUAGUAUAUUUUGUCCCAGGAAAGCCAGGUAGUAUAUUCAUUUAAAAGUUUGGGAGAACUUAUUAUUAUUGACUUGAGUUUUUUUUUUGUUAUUGAGAUUUUUUUGUUAUUGACUUGAGAUUUGUCUUUCUUUUUUAAUGAAGAAAUUCACUGGUAUAGGUUUCCCUCAAAACACUGCUUUCACCAGUUUCCGUAAGUUUUACGUUUUGGUUACAUUGUCAUUUAUGUUAAAACACUUUCUGAUAAGUAUUUGUGGUUUUCUUUUGAUCCAUAAAUUAUUUGGGAUUUUGCCAUUUAAUGUCCACAUACUUAAGAGUCUCCUAAAUUUCUUGCUUUCAUUGAUCUCUGAUUCUAUUAUGAUUAGAAAUCACCCAUUGUAUUAUCUCAAUCUCUAUUUUUACUGAUGUUUUAUGGCCCAGCAGGUGGUCUGUCCUAGAGAACGUUCCAUGUGGAUUUGAGAAGAAUAUAUAUUCUCAUGUUGGAUGCAGUGCUGUGCAUAUGUUUGUUAGGUUUAGUUGUUUUAUGUUGUUGUUCAUGUUUUCUAUUUUUUAUCUUCUGUCUACUUGUUCUAUCCAUUAAUAUAAGUGAAGCAUUAAAGUCUCCAACUAUUACUGUUGAAUUAUCUAUUUCUCCCUUUAUUUCUGUCAUUUUUGCUUCAUGUAUUUCUGUGCUUAUUUGAUAACUGCAUAUAUGUGAAUAAUUUUUUUAUAUUUUCCUGAUGAGUUUACCCUUUGCCAAUACAAAAUGUCUUUAUCAGUAUAUAUUUUUUUGUUUUGUUUCAUUUUGUUUUUUGAGACAAGAGUCUUGCUCUGUCACCCAGGCUGGAGUGCAGUGGCACAAUCUUGGCUCACUGCAACCUCCGCCUCCUGGUUCA